rnacentral:lncRNA from 1 species
UUUGUCUAAUUAUCAUGCUAAGUUGAAUUCCAAGGCUAUAUUCCUAUCUAGCAUACAUGGGGAACAAUUUUAACUUGAAUAAUAGAUAGAAUUACUUACCUUGUUGUUGCUUGUGUUCCUUGAAACCUUGUGAGCCUAGCACCCCAAGUGUGAUGCCUCAAAUGCUUCACACAACACCAAAUGCUCUUGGAAAACUUAUGAGAGAACACACACUCCUUGAAAUCGGCCAAGUCCUCUAGUUUCUUAUGUCUAACCGAUUUUGGUGGAGAAUAUGAUUCUUAUAUAGUGUUGACACAUCUAGGGUUACACCAUGUAAACCCUAAUGUGUCAUGACUCUUCAUUUCCAUGACCCAUGGGUUUGUAACUCCCAUGGAGCAUCCAUGGAGCAUCCUAUGGGUAGAACCCAACUUGAUAAUCCAUGGAGCCUCUUAGCCCACUAUACAAGAUAUGGAUGAUUUACAUAACCAACCCAUAUAUUUAAUUAGUUCUCUUUUGACCACUUAAUUAAUUCUAAAUUAAUUAUUGAUCAAACUAAUCAAAUGAUAUUAUUAAUAUAUUAGAACUUAUAAUAUAUUAAUAAUCUCCAAGUGUUAUUUCUCUCAUUUAGUCUAUCCAAUUGCAUGGUGCCAUGCAACCCAAAUGGACCAUGCCGGGUCGGGUCAAGUACAAGCCCGAAAUAGUUAUGGACUUAGACACCUUAUCCAACAGUCUCCCACUUGGAUAAGUCUAAUAACUAUAUCUCUAGUACUUCAGGAACCGACCGGCAAUCGUAGCUCUUUCAAGGUCUCUCGGAACUGAGAAGAUGAUGGUACGCCAUUUAAGAUAAGUGAUCAUAUAAUCCUCCGUUCUAGAUAUCAGCCGGACAAAUACAUGGAACAUUGUCUUGCUUAUUGUCCAGCAUUUGUUUCCCGAUUUCCGAUUUGUUUGACAUAGAACUUAAUUGAACACAUCAACUUAGUUCUGACCGGGCCCGGUACAUGGGUCAAAACAAAAUCAUCGAGGGGCCCAGAUAUCAGCUUCUAAUCCAAGAAGGAACAGAUAAACUUCGACUCAUAUGUUUGUUCUACCACUCAUUGAAUUACACACAAAAGUACGUUUUAUAACAUCGAGUUACCAAUGCGGUUUCGUACAGUCAAUGCAUAACCAACUUGUAAGUAACAAAUCAUAUCUCUAGGUUUGAAGACUUAUAUGAUAUUACCGUCUCACGAUCACUCGAGAUAGAAUUCCAUGAAGUGAUUCCAGUGAGCGUGGGUUGAGUCCAAUGCUCAGAACUUAUGAGCACUCAUGAUUGUUGUAGCCUUGUCCAACACCUUAGACCUCUACAACCCAUCAUGACAGUCUUGAUUCAUACCUACUUCCGACAUAUGACCGACUGUGGAGGUUUGAAUAAUAUGUUACACCAAACAAAAUUAUUCUGGAAGUCAAAACAUGCAAAAGAAAUAUAGUAAACGAUUGACAAGAGAUAGCAACACUUUACUCAUAAAUAAAACACCUUUUAUUCAUCAUCAAAUGUCAAUUACACUUUACAAAUUUCUGGGUUAUCUAACUACUAAAACUUAUAUCAUCCUUCAGCCCUAUGCUCCGAGCAUGCUGGAGAUGCUUAACCCUACUCAGUCCCUUCGUGAGGGGAUCUGCUGGGUUCUCAUCCGAUGAUACCCUCUUUGCCACGAGGAGUCCUUCUUCGAUCCGAUGUCUAAUGAAAUGGUAUUUUCUGUCGAUGUGUCUGGAUCUCCCAUGAUCCCUUGGUUCCUUGGCUAAGGCAACAGCACUUUCACUAUCACAGAAAAUUUCCAUUGGCUCUUUAAUAGCUGGUACAACUCCAAGGUCUCCAAUGAAGUUCUUCAGCCAUAUCGCCUCCUUUGCUGCUUCGCUAGCUGCAAUAUACUCUGAUUCACAAGUAGAAUCUGCCACUGUCUCUUGCUUGGAACUCUUCCAAGAAAUUGCUCCUCCGUUUAGGGUAAAGACCCAGCCCGACUGAGAGCGGAAAUUAUCCCUAUCAGUCUGGAAGCUAGCAUCACUAUACCCUACAACUCUCAAGUCAUCACUCCCACCGAGGGUAAGGACCCAGUCCUUAGUCCUCCGUAGGUACUUGAGGAUAUUCUUUACCGCAGUCCAGUGUGCCUUGCCAGGGUUCGCCUGAUACCUGCUAACCAUGCUCAAGGCAAAAGCUACAUCGGGUCGAGUACACGUCAUAGCAUACAUGAUCGAUCCUACAGCCGAAGCGUAAGGUGUUCGACUCAUUUCUGCUAUCUCAGCCUCAGUGCUAGGGCUUUGUGUCUUACUCAAUCUGGUGUUACUCUGGAUGGGUAACUCUCCUUUCUUGGAAUCCUGCAUGCUGAAUCUCUUCAGCACCUUAUCCAAGUAGGUACUCUGACUAAGUCCAAUUAGUCUUUUACUCCGAUCUCUCAAGAUUCUUAUCCCUAGAAUAUAGGCAGCUUCACCAAGGUCCUUCAUAGCGAAACACUUCCCAAGCCAGGACUUUACUUCCUGCAGGGUUGGAAUGUCGUUUCCUAUGAGUAGUAUGUCAUCCACAUACAAUACCAAAAAGCUAACUAUACUCCCACUAGCCUUGACAUACACACAAGAUUCAUCUUCACUCCUAGAAAAGCCAAAUUCCUUGACCUUUUCAUCAAAGCAAAGAUUCCAUCUGCGAGGUGCUUGCUUCAAUCCAUAAAUGGAUUUCUCAAGCUUACACACUCUAUUAGGGUACUCGUUGCUGACAAAACCCUCUGGCUGACUCAUGUAAACAUCUUCAGCCAACUUUCCAUUAAGGAAAGCGGUUUUGACAUCCAUCUGCCAUAUUUCAUAGUCAUGAAAUGCAGCUAUGGCUAACAGAACCCGAAUAGACUUAAUCUUGGCUACCGGAGAAAAGGUCUCAUCAUAAUCCACUCCAGGAAUUUGAGAGAAGCCCUUUGCAACCAGUCUAGCCUUAUAAGUGUGUACUUUACCAUCCAUGUCGGUCUUCUUCUUGAAGACCCAUUUGCACCCUACUGUCUUACGACCUGGUACAUUUUCAACCAAGUUCCAAACUUGAUUGUCAUACAUGGAUUGUAUCUCGCUAUCCAUAGCCUCUUUCCAUUUAGCAGACUCGGGGCCUGCCAUGGCUUCCUCGUAGCUGUUAGGGUCAUCUUGACUUACUAGUGUCUCAUCACUAAUAAGUGUCUCACCUUCUGCAGUAAUAUGGAAUCCAUAGUAAUGCUCAGGUGCACUCCUAACUCUCGUGGAACGUCUCAGAGGUACAGAUUUGUCAAUUGGCUCAACAGGAGUUUCCUCCUCAAGUUGAGGGCUAGAGUUUGAAGUUCCUUCACCGCUUGAUUCUUGAAUUUCUUCAAGAUCAAUUUGCCUCCCACUGUCUCCUUGGCUUAUAAACUCUCUUUCUCGAAAGACUCCUCUUCUUGCUACAAAGACCACAUUGUCACUAGGUCUGUAGAAGAGGUAACCAAAGGAUCGCUGUGGGUAACCGAUGAAAAUACACCUCUCGCUUCGAGGUUCGAGCUUAUCAUGAGUCUCGCGUCUCACGAAAGCCUCGCAACCCCAAAUCUUGAUGUGGUCUAGUUUAGGUACUUUACCAGUCCACAUCUCGUGAGGAGUUUUGGCAACUUUCUUUGUAGGGACUAGAUUAAGAAUAUGGGCGGCAGUCUCUAAGGCAUACCCCCAGAAUGAGAUUGGUAGCGUAGCUCGACUCAUCAUGGAACGAACCAUAUCUAACAAGGUUCGAUUACGCCUCUCAGCCACACCAUUCAACUGUGGUGUCCUGGGAGGUGUCAAUUGUGAGACUAUCCCACAUUCCCUUAGAUAGUCGAGGAACUCUGAACUAAGAUACUCACCACCACGAUCGGAUCGAAGCAUCUUAAUGUUCCUGCCCAAUUGAUUCUCGACUUCCUGUUUAAAUUCCUUAAACCUCUCGAAAGUCUCUGACUUAUGCUUGAUCAAGUAGACAUAUCCAUAUCUACUAUAAUCAUCAGUAAAAGUCAAAUAAUAACGAUUAGCAUCCCUUGUGGCAUGUUUGAAUGGUCCACACACAUCCGUGUGUAUAAGGUCCAACAAACCUUCACCCCUCUCACACGAACCUGUGAAGGGUGACUUUGUCAUUUUUCCAAGUAAGCAUGAUUCGCAACUAUCAUCUGACUUUAGGUCAAACGACUCCAAGACUCCAUCCUUUUGGAGUUGGCCUAUGCGUUUCUUGCUUAUAUGUCCAAGACGACAAUGCCAUAAAGAUGCUUUAUCCAAGUUAUUAUUAGUAGAAUCAAUACACAAAACAUUAUUUCCCAAGUUAUCUACAACAGAUACAGCUUCAUACACACCAUCACAAGGUAAUGCUUUAAAAUAAAAGACAUUAUUAUAGAAAACAUCUAUAGAACCAACUUCAUUAUUAAAUGAAAAGGUAAACCCUUGUUUGUACAAAGCAUGAAAGGAAAUAAUAUUUCUUGCCAUUCCUGGCGAAUAACAACACUUAUUCAAAUCUAAACUAAACCCACUACUUAGCGAUAAAGUAUAAACUCCAAUCUUGGUAACAGGUAUAGCUUUCCUAUUCCCCAUGAUCAAGUUUAUCCUUCCUUGCUCCACAUCCUCACUUCUUCUUAGUCCCUGCAAGUCACAACAAAUGUGAAUACCACACCCGGUAUCAAGGACCCAAGAAUUAGAAUGGGGUGAGUUAUUAGAAAUGAUAGUGUAAAUACCUGCAUGGUUGGGUUUAACUUUCCCAUCCUUCACAUCUUGCUGGUAUUUUGGGCAGUUCCGCUUCCAAUGAGCUUUUUCAUGGCAAUAGAAGCAUUCAGCCUCUUUUGGGUCAGAAGAAGGAGUAAUGAAACCUUUCUUGGUUCCACUUGAAGAAGAGCCAUCAAGGGUCCGAACCUUGGUACCCUUAGAAGAGCUCUUUCUCUUCCUCCCUCGACUUUUCCCGAUUGCCAAAACCGGAGUAGAGUUUUGAGUAGGAGUGAUAGCAACCGACUUCCCCUUAAGACCUGAUUCUGCGGUCUUGAGAAGUCCCUGAAGUUUGCUGAGGGUGACUUCUUCCUUGUUCAUGUGAUAUGUCAUGCGGAAUUGAUCAUAGCACGAUGGUAAGGAAUGCAAAAUAAUAUCUAUUGCAAGAUCCUCCGGGAAGUUCACAUUAAGCUUCAGCAAACGAUCCACAUACCUUUGCAUUUUCUGCAUGUGGCUCGUGACGGAUUCCCCGUCCUUCAUCAUGGUUGUUAUCAUGGAGCAGAUGAUUUCAUACCUCUCUUGUCUUGCACUUUGAUGGUAUCUUUCCAUCAAAUCUUGGUGCAUUUCAUAAGGGUAGAAAUCCUCAUAAGACUUUUGGAGUUCCGCUGUCAUCGUGGCCAUCAUGAUGCAAGCCACUUUCGUAGCAUCCCUUUCAUGUGCCCGAAAUUCAGCGAUCUCCUGAGGAGUUGCAGUGGACUCAUCAAUCUCCUUAAGCUCCUUGUCAAGGACAUAUUCUUUGUCCUCGUAGCGGGUAAUCAUCCUGAUGUUUCUGAUCCACUCAUUGAAGUUGGAUCCAUCAAAGGUGACUUUCCCACACAAGUUCAUAAGGGUAAAGGAGCCAUUAGGAUUAGAGCCAGAAGCAUUGUUGAAAGACAUCUGAAGGAAAGAGGACAAGAUUAGUUUAGAUAUAAGAGAGUCCUUAAUAAAACACCCAAAUGUAAUAUUAAGGCUAGGAUCCAAUCACAAUAUAAUAUAACUUAGAAGAGGUAUGCCGUAAUCUAAGCUAUAUCAUAUUUGAAAGGUAGGUGAAUGACGAUUCACCAAUUUCCACCACGAAAACCGCAAUAUUUUAGUAUUAGGUUUUUGAAUGGUUCUUAGAAAUUCCUAGAUUCUUUGAGAUUCAAUGAACUUUUCAAAGGCAUGUUUCAAUCUCGAGUGUGCCCUCCAAGUUUUGUGACUGGGAUACCGAGGAUCACAAAACGAGGUGUGAAGUAACCAUGCAAAUCACUUGGUACCCUUAAAGUUUAUCACUCAAUCGAUGUGCCGGUUAACCACACACGCUCCAUCGAUACUAUAAUAAACCCUAAGUCACCCUUUACCUACCUUGUUAAGUCCAAGUUAGUGUGCCGGUUAACCACACACGCUCCACCAACGACUUAAUCAAAGUGUAAAGUGUAAUUUCAUGGAAUAGCACCUUAUUCACAUUUUUCCUAAAGUAACUAAGAUUGGGAAUUUAAUAAAACAUUUAGUUACUUUAUAAUAUUCAUCAUACUUUGAAUGAGAAUUAAUAAGUCCUUGUCUUACCCGUUCGGCUAACGACCCUCCACCGAUCAAGCAAGCGGUGGGUGAGAGUGGACACCCAUUAAGUCACCAUUUUAUAGGCAACAACCUUAUACCCACCUUAUAGACCGGCUUCGUGAAUGAGGCGUACUAGCGGUAAGACGACUUUGUUCUUAUACAUAUAUAUAUAAUUAUUAAAUCAUAAUAAUAUAAGUAUAAGGGUUGAAUUUUAACUUUUAAAAUUCUAGGGGUUGGAACUAAAGUUUUAACUUAACUUUACUUGUUCCAAAACUUGAGGGCAAGUUUUGUAAACUUUCAAAACUUUUCAUUUCUUGUAACUUAUGAGUUUAAUAGAGUAAUAAAAUGAGGACUUUUCAUUUUUCCUAACUCUUGUGUUCUUUUAAUGGUUUUUAAUCCAAGAGACUUUUGGUUUUCCAUAACUUGAGGACAAGUUAUGGACUCCAUUAAAACACAUUAUGAUCAUGAAUUAAUCUACCACAUAGGUUACAAAUAAUUCCUAUGAUCAUCUAAACAUCAUAAGAACAAGAAUAUGAAUAUGAACACUUUCAAGAAUCAAAAUCACAUUUAAUCUUUGUAAUUUUGAUAACUAGUUGUUGUAAAUGAGUUAGAAAAGACAUUACACCUUCUAAAAUAAGUUUUCAAGUACCAAAACAUUUUAGGGUAAUGAUUCUAAUCCAUUUCCAGCAACUCAAGUCGAAAUUCUGCACUCUGUCGACCCUACUCGCCGAGUGCAUAAACCUACUCGCCGAGUAGGUUGAAGAUACACAUGAACUCGACGAGUCCUCCCCAUGGACUCGCCGAGUCCAUCAGUCAGACAGCAAGAUUUUCGACUUUCUUCAACUUUUAAGCACAAAUAACAAACAAACAAGCCUAGGCUCUGAUACCACUGAUGGGUUUUGAGCAUUCUAACACUUCCUAAGUGUACAUGCAACCCUAAUAACCUUGGAUCUAUGUUUGUCUAAUUAUCAUGCAAAGUUGAAUUCCAAGGAUAUAUUCCUAUCUAGCAUACAUGGGGAACAAUUUUAACUUGAAUAAUAGAUAGAAUUACUUACCUUGUUGUUGCUUGUGUUCCUUGAAACCUUGUGAGCCUAGCACCCCAAGUGUGAUGCCUCAAAUGCUUCACACAACACCAAAUGCUCUUGGAAAACUUAUGAGAGAACACACACUCCUUGAAAUCGGCCAAGCCCUCUAGUUUCUUAUGUCUAGCAGAUUUUGGUGGAGAAUAU